rnacentral:rRNA from 1 species
AUUGAACGCUGGCGGCAGGCCUAACACAUGCAAGUCGAACGGAAACAGGAAGAAGCUUGCUUCUUUGCUGACGAGUGGCGGGCGUGUGUGUAAUGUCUGGGAAACUGCCUGAUGGAGGGGGAUAACUACUGGAAGCGGUAGCAAAUACCGCAUAACGUCGCAAGACCAAAGAGGGGGACCUUCAGGCCUCUUGCCAUCGAAUGUGCCCAGAUGGGAUUAGCUAGUAGGUGGGGUAACGGCUCACCUAGGCGACGAUCCCUAGCUGGUCUGAGAGGAUGACCAGCCACACUGGAACUGAGACACGGUCCAGACUCCUACGGGAGGCAGCAGUGGGGAAUAUUGCACAAUGGGCGCAAGCCUGAUGCAGCCAUGCCGCGUGUAUGAAGAAGGCCUUCGGGUUGUAAAGUACUUUCAGCGGGGAGGAAGGGAGUAAAGUUAAUACCUUUGCUCAUUGACGUUACCCACAGAAGAAGCACCGGCUAACUCCGUG